UACGAAGGGGGCUAGCGUUGUUCGGAAUUACUGGGCGUAAAGGGCGCGUAGGCGGCCUUCUAAGUCGAACGUGAAAUCCCCGGGCUCAACCCGGGAACUGCGUCCGAUACUGGGAGGCUUGAAUCCGGGAGAGGGAUGUGGAAUUCCAGGUGUAGCGGUGAAAUGCGUAGAUAUGUGGAGGAACACCGAUGGCGAAGGCAGCCCCCUGGGUCAACACUGACGCUCAGGCACGAAAGCGUGGGGAGCAAACAGG
rnacentral:rRNA from 1 species